AUACAUAUAAUUAAAAUACAUAAUAUAUAUUAUUUUAUAUAAUUAAAAUAUAUAUUAUAUAUAAUUAUAUAUAGAGAGAGUUCGGCUACUAUACGCCUAUUAAUAUAGACCCCUUUAUACUUAUAAAUUUUCGAUCGUUAGAUCUAUGCUUUUGACCAUUUCCAUCCGUAAAUCAUAUUAUUCAACCAAUCACCCACUCAAUCCUAGGGGACCACUAUCAUCCUAAUUGCACAUCCAACGACCAAAAAUUUAUAAGUAUAAAGGGGUCUAUUGUAGUAUACUGAACUUAACCAAAUUGCAGAGUUCCAGUAUA
rnacentral:lncRNA from 1 species